UUGAAAGAAGAUAGAAUAAGCCAAUUACCAGAUCCUUUGU
rnacentral:sRNA from 1 species